rnacentral:rRNA from 1 species
UACGAAGGGGGCUAGCGUUGUUCGGAAUUACUGGGCGUAAAGCGCACGUAGGCGGGCGAUUAAGUCAGGGGUGAAAUCCCGGAGCUCAACUCCGGAACUGCCUUUGAUACUGGUCGUCUAGAGAUCGGAAGAGGUGAGUGGAAUUCCCAGUGUAGAGGUGAAAUUCGUAGAUAUUGGGAAGAACACCAGUGGCGAAGGCGGCUCACUGGUCCGAUACUGACGCUGAGGUGCGAAAGCGUGGGAGCAAACAGGG